GACGAACGCUGGCGGCGUGCUUAACACAUGCAAGUCGAGCGAGCGGCGGACGGGUGAGUAAUGUCUGGGAAACUGCCUGAUGGAGGGGGAUAACUACUGGAAACGGUAGCUAAUACCGCAUACCAUCAGAUGUGCCCAGAUGGGAUUAGAUAGGAGGUUGGGUAAAGGCUCACCUAGGCGACGAUCCCUAGCUGGUAUGAGAGGAUGACCAGACACACUGGCACUGAGACACGGUCCAGACUCCUACGUGAGGCAGCAGUGGGGAAUAUUGCACAAUGGGCGCAAGCCUGAUGCAGCCAUGCCGCGUGUGUGAAGAAGGCCUUCGGGUUGUAAAGCACUUUCAGCGAGGAGGCGUUACUCGCAGAAGAAGCACCGGCUAACUCCGUGCCAGCAGCCGCGGUAAUAC
rnacentral:rRNA from 1 species